rnacentral:lncRNA from 1 species
CUCGCUUUAAAAAAAUACAAAAAAAUGAGAAAAAUCAAAAUUUUUUUAAAAAAAAAAGAAAAGAAAAGAAAAGAAAAGUUCUAUAUAUAUUAGUCUACAGUAAAAUUUAAAGGGGGGAGGCGGAGAAAAAUUUUGAGGGGGAAAACAAAAGUAAAAGAACCCUAAACCUAAUCUGGUUCCUCUCUCGGCGGCUGCCCCCUCCCUUGGCAAAAAAAAAAAACAAAGAGAACCGAGGCCGCCACCAUCUCCUUACCUCACCAGAUCCCCCCUCCUCCCUUGACUUUUGCAAAACAAACCAGAGAGCACAAGACAGCCCCUGACUCUUUUCCCCAUAGCCAUUUCCAGCACCGUCUCUAGCUCCUUUUCCCGCUACAACAGCCAAAGCAGCCAACUUCCUUUUUCCCUUUCACCCGAACGGCCGCCUCCCUCCCUUGAGAAAGAAAAUCUAGAGAAACCCCUGCUUUGGGGGGGCUUUUGAUUUUCAGCUUCUUCUCCCUUCAGCCGGGCAAGUCCCCCUCGUCCUCUGUCAAAAAAAAAAACGAGCCUUCACCCAUUUUCCCCCAUAGCCGGCCAUCAACACAAACUCUCAGCCCCCCACAGACCAACCUCCCCUGCACGCCGGCCUUCACGGUCUCCCUCGCUCGGCUCUCCCAAAACCAGAGGCCAGCCGUGGCCCCCUUAAUUUGCCCUCUGUCAAAAAACAAGCCGGCCAGCCACCUCUCCUUUCAUCUCUAGACUGAACAUAGCGGCAGCCUCCGCUGUAUUCUUCAGCUGCUCCCGUCUCCGCCUCAGCCACGGUCUCCCUCUCCGGGCCAACCACAGCCCCCGGCCCUCACAGGUCUCCACCGAAUAGACCCCACCACAGCAGCAGCCGAUCUCCUUCACCGCCAAUCGGCCAGCUCGCCUAGACCGAAUCGGAGCCUCCAGUAGCAGCCUGAUAUUCAUUUUUGAUUUUUUUAAAUAUGAAAAAGAUGCAUUUUUUUUUAUGAAAAAUAUGCUUGGAAAAAUUUUAGGAUUUGACUAUAUGCAACAAAAUAUUUUUUCUUUUUGAAAAUGUUUUGAAUUUUUUUUUGAAAUAUUUCAGAG